AAAAAAAAAAAAAAAAAACCAGACAAAAAAUGAUCCGACCUUGCCAACUAGCUAUGGCUAGCUAGUUAGAUAUGACACUGAAUCUUCAAAGCGCAAUUUCUCAUGAAGCUCCGUGCAGGAGUGCAUAUAGUUUUCAGAGAAACACGUGAAUGCUUCACUUUGCGCGGAAUGUUUAAACCUAGACCACUACUCUACGGGUUUUUUUUAUGUUUAAAUCCAUUUACUAACUUUUUUAUAUAGAAGAAUAUAUGAUCAUUUAACAUGGGCUAUGCUUAUAAUAAACAUAGCCCAUGGGCCAUGUUAAAUGAUCAUAUAUUCUUCUGCCAUAAACAGUAUAGAAACCAUAAAAUAAUUAGACCACCAUUUACUUGCAUUAAGCAACUCUAUUGUUAUUUUUAUAAUUAGUAUUGAUAUAAUUGUUAUAUAAUGUAUUUCCACACUUAUAUAUGUGAAUUAUAUUAUCAGAAAACUGAACAUUUGGCGUUGUCAGUCUUUUAUUUGUGCUUAAUGGAUAAAACAACGGCGCCGUGCAUUUAUGGCUAUACUAAUUAGAAAUAAUUCUUUAUAUUUAUUAAUAUGUGCUUAUUUGUGCAAUCAUUAAAUGUAUUGGUCUUACACCACUGUUAUGUCCACUGGUCACAGCAAUAAAUACUGUAUUUUUGCAAUUCCACAAGUCUCUCCAUUUCCAAUGUAACCUACUGGCCUAUUCAUUAACAAUAUGCAAUUUCAGUGCAUGUAUGAGAAUUGGUAUGAUGAUAAAUUACAAAAAAUAAACAGUCCAAUGCUGCUUAAACACUUAAAUUUAGUUGACUUUUUCUUUUUGUAGGGAGAAGAGGCCGACCAGCCAUUGAUGUUACCGGAGAACACAUUGAAUUUCUGCUGAAGCAAGGCCAUACAAUUUCAAAAACUGCUGAAAUACUGGGAUGCUCCUCAUCAUUUCUGUACAAGAAGUCAAAGUUGUUGGGUAUACCUGUUAGAAGUAUGCUGUCUGCAAUAGAUGAUGGUGAACUAGAACAACAUGUGAGGCAACUUCAGAGCCAAUAUCCUAAUUCUGGAAAUGAGAUGAUAAGAGCCCUGUUGCGUGCACAGGGUGUGCUUGUUACACGGUCCAGGGUCCGUGAGAUGUUGACACGGGUCAAUCCUACUGCUGCUGCAAGGAGAUGGAGCCAGACAGUUGCAAGACGUGUUUAUCAUGUACCUUACCCCAAUAGUUUGUGGCACAUUGAUGGGAACAUGCGUCUCAUAAGGUUAUUAUUACCAUACUUGUCAUACUUUUUAAUAUUUUGAAAAGAACUUCAGCAAGUAAAAAA
ensembl:lncRNA